GACGAACCGUGCAAACGUUAUUCGGAAUCACUGGGCAUAAAGGGCGCGUAGGCGGCUUCCUCAGUCAGGGGUGAAAUCCGGCAGCUUAACUGUCGCAGUGCCUUUGAUACUGGGAAGCUCGAGGGAUGUAGGGGUCUGUGGAACUUCCGGUGGAGCGGUGAAAUGCGUUGAUAUCGGAAGGAACGCCGGUGGCGAAAGCGACGGACUGGACAUCUUCUGACGCUGAGGCGCGAAAGCCAGGGGAGCAAACGGG
rnacentral:rRNA from 1 species